GAUUAACGCUGGCGGCGUGCAUAACACAUGCAAGUCGAACGAUGAAACUUUAAUGAACCCUUCGGGGAGAAUUAAAGCGGCUUAGUGGCGAACGGGUGAGUAACGCGUGAGUAACCUGCCUACACCAAGGGAAUAGCCUUUGGAAAGGAGAAAAAUUCCCUAUAAAAACAUUACAACACAAGCAAUUAUGGGUAAAGUGAUAGCGGUGUAAGAUGGACUUGCGUCUGAUUAGCUAGUUGGUGAGAUAAAAGCCCACCAAGGCAACGAUCAGUAGCCGGCUUGAGAGAGUGUACGGCCACAUUGGGACUGAGACACGGCCCAGACUCCUACGGGAGGCAGCAGUGGGGAAUUUUGCACAAUGGGGGAAACCCUGAUGCAGCGACGCCGCGUGAUUUAGAAGGCCUUCGGGUUGUAAAAAUCUUUUGUAUAGGAAGAAAAUGACAGUACUAUACGAAUAAGGUCCGGCUAAUUACGUG
rnacentral:rRNA from 1 species